GACGAACGCUGGCGGCGUGCCUAAUACAUGCAAGUCGAGCGAAAAGACGAGGAGCAUGCGCCCCUGACGUUAGAGGCGGACGGGAGAGUAACACGGGGAUAAACUAACUAUAAGAAUGGGAUACCUACAGGAAACCGGAGCUAAUAACGGAUGAUAUAUUGACCCGCAAGGUGCCAUCGUGAAAUAAGGUUUUGCUGUCACUAAUAGAUUGCUCCGCGCCUCAUGAGCUAGUUGGUAAGGUAACGGCUUACCAAGGCUAGGAUGCGUAGCCGACCUCAAGGGGUCGUCCGCUACAUUGGAACUGAGGCUCGUCCCAGACUCCUGCGCGAGGCAGCAGUAGGGAAUCUUCCGCGAGGCAGGAGAGCUGGACGUAGCAACGCCGCGGGAAGGAUGAUGGUCUUCUGAUCGGAAAGCGCUGUUAUUAGUGAAGAACAAAUGUGUAAGUAACUAUGCUCGUCUUGACGGUACCUAGUCAGAAAGCCACGGCUAACUACGUG
rnacentral:rRNA from 1 species